CGAGCCUCCUUGACGUGCAGUUCGUGCCAAGACCCGCUCCUGCCCAGGCAGGCCUUGCUUGCUAGCUAGCCAGCAACGCCGCGCCGCCGUCGGCAUGAAGGGGAGCGGUGCCGUGAAGCCGUCGUCCAUGUUCUACGUCCACGAGUCGGACGUCGCCCCCAUCCACCACUUCCUCGAGGAGUGCUCCCUCUGCUGCAAGUCGCUCUCCGGCGACAUCUUCAUGUACAGAGGUGACACGCCGUUCUGCAGCGAGGAGUGCAGGCAGCAGCAGAUCGAGGUGGACAGGGCGAAGCACCGGCGGAAGAAGCGCGCCGCGGCGCACGCGGUGUCGUUGCGGAAGGAGCACCGGCACAGCCACCACCACAGCCACCGGCACCACCACCAGCAACCGCAGCCGCGGGCGGCCAUCGACGCGAACCCGUGGGCCGACGCGGGGUUCACCGCGCGAGGCCCCGCUUUGCGCGUGUGACCGACCCGACCCGGGUCGCGGUCAGGUCGGGCUCGCUCGCGUGCGUCGCGCGGAGGCCAAAACUUCAUUUUCUUUUUGCGAGUUCUGGUGCAACACGGGCAGGACGACGGAGACAACUACAUUAUAACAACAACAAAAACUACACGCACGAGAGCCAGUUUUUGGUUGUACGGAACUGGCGCUGCACUGCUACUAGUACUAUACUGGAAGCCGUUUGUUUCGCCGAAGCAGUUAGGGGAUUUGGAGGGUCAUCAGGGGCUUGUCCGUUGCCAAGCGGCAAAAUCGAAAGUAACCCAAGGAAUCCUGACCGAAAAACAAGUUCUUCAAGUUAAGGUUAUCCUAGAUGUUAGUCUGGAGUAGAGUGGUCAAAACACAAAGAGAGUUGUGUAUCUUUACUACUGUCAAUGCAAGCUUGUUUACUUGUUCUUUAGAUACAGAGGGGAAAACCCACCGGUUCCAAUGUAUUGAAACCGACACAGGCUUGCUUU